rnacentral:rRNA from 1 species
AUUGAACGCUGGCGGCAGGCCUAACACAUGCAAGUCGAACGAGUGGCGGACGGGUGAGUAAUGUCUUGGAAACUGCCUGAUGGAUGGGGAUAACUUCUGGAAACGGUAUCUAAUACCGCAUACCCUCGGUUUUGCCCAGAUGGUUUUAGCUUGUUGUUGGGGUAACGGCUCACCAAGGCGACGAUCCCUAGCGGGUCUGAGAGGAUGACCAGCCACACUGGAACUGAGACACGGUCCAGACUCCUACGGGAGGCAGCAGUGGGGAAUAUUGCACAAUGGGCGCAAGCCUGAUGCAGCCAUGCCGCGUGUAUGAAGAAGGCCUUCGGGUUGUAAAGUACUUUCAGCGGGGAGGCGUUACCCGCAGAAGAAGCACCGGCUAACUCCGUGCCAGCAGACGCGGUAAUAG